GCAUAUCAAUAAGCGGAGGAAAAGAAACCAACAGGGAUUGCCCUAGUAACGGCGAGUGAAGCGGCAACAGCUCAAAUUUGAAAUCUGGCCUCGGCCCGAGUUGUAAUUUGCAGAGGAAGCUUUAGGCGCGGCACCUUCUGAGUCCCCUGGAACGGGGCGCCAUAGAGGGUGAGAGCCCCGUAUAGUUGGAUGCCUAGCCUGUGUAAAGCUCCUUCGACGAGUCGAGUAGUUUGGGAAUGCUGCUCAAAAUGGGAGGUAAAUUUCUUCUAAAGCUAAAUACCGGCCAGAGACCGAUAGCGCACAAGUAGAGUGAUCGAAAGAUGAAAAGCACUUUGAAAAGAGGGUUAAAAAGCACGUGAAAUUGUUGAAAGGGAAGCGCUUGUGACCAGACUUGCGCCGGGCUGAUCAUCCGGUGUUCUCACCGGUGCACUCGGCCCGGCACAGGCCAGCAUCGGUUCUCGCGGGGGGAUAAAGGUCCCGGGAACGUAGCUCCUCCGGGAGUGUUAUAGCCCGGGGCGUAAUGCCCUCGCGGGGACCGAGGUUCGCGCAUCUGCAAGGAUGCUGGCGUAAUGGUCAUCAGCGACCCGUCUUGAAACACGGACCAAGGAGUCAAGGUUUUGCGCGAGUGUUUGGGUGUCAAACCCGCACGCGUAAUGAAAGUGAACGUAGGUGAGAGCUUCGGCGCAUCAUCGACCGAUCCUGAUGUUUUCGGAUGGAUUUGAGUAGGAGCGUUAAGCCUUGGACCCGAAAGAUGGUGAACUAUGCUUGGAUAGGGUGAAGCCAGAGGAAACUCUGGUGGAGGCUCGCAGCGGUUCUGACGUGCAAAUCGAUCGUCAAAUCUGAGCAUGGGGGCGAAAGACUAAUCGAACCAUCUAGUAGCUGGUUACCGCCGA
rnacentral:rRNA from 1 species